rnacentral:rRNA from 1 species
GGGGGAGUGAAAUCCCUUAGUAACGAAGCUAACGCGUGAAGUUGACCGCCUGGGGAGUACGGUCGCAAGAUUAAAACUCAAAGGAAUUGACGGGGACCCGCACAAGCGGUGGAUGAUGUGGAUUAAUUCGAUGCAACGCGAAAAACCUUACCUACCCUUGACAUGUCCGGAAUCCUGCAGAGAUGCGGGAGUGCCCGAAAGGGAAUCGGAACACAGGUGCUGCAUGGCUGUCGUCAGCUCGUGUCGUGAGAUGUUGGGUUAAGUCCCGCAACGAGCGCAACCCUUAUCAUUAGUUGCUACGCAAGGGCACUCUAAUGAGACUGCCGGUGACAAACCGGAGGAAGGUGGGGAUGACGUCAAGUCCUCAUGGCCCUUAUAGGUGGGGCUACACACGUCAUACAAUGGCCGGUACAAAGGGUUGCCAACCCGCGAGGGGGAGCUAAUCCCACAAAGCCGGUCGUAGUCCGGAUCGCAGUCUGCAACUCGACUGCGUGAAGUCGGAAUCGCUAGUAAUCGUGGAUCAGCAUGUCACGGUGAAUACGUUCCCGGGUCUUGUACACACCGCCCGUCACACCAUGGGAGUGGAAUCUGCCAGAAGUAGGUAGCCUAACCGCAAGGGGGGC